UACGUAGGGAGCAAGCGUUGUCCGGAAUCAUUGGGCGUAAAGCGCGCGUAGGCGGCCUCAUAAGUCCGUUGUGAAAGUCAAAGGCUCAACCUUUGAAAGCCGAUGGAUACUGUGAGGCUAGAGUCCGGAAGAGGCGAGUGGAAUUCCUGGUGUAGCGGUGGAAUGCGCAGAUAUCAGGAGGAACACCGGUGGCGAAGGCGGCUUACUGGGUCUUUUCUGACGCUGAGGCACGAAAGCCAGGGGAGCGAACGGG
rnacentral:rRNA from 1 species